UACGGAGGGGGCAAGCGUUAAUCGGAUUUACUGGGCGUAAAGCGUGCGCAGGCGGCCCGUUAAGACAGGUGUGAAAUCCCUGGGCUCAACCUAGGAAUUGCGCUUGUGACUGGCGGGCUCGAGUACGGUAGAGGGGGGUGGAAUUCCUGGUGUAGCAGUGAAAUGCGUAGAGAUCAGGAGGAACACCGAUGGCGAAGGCAGCCCCCUGGGCCUGUACUGACGCUCAUGCACGAAAGCGUGGGGAGCAAACAGG
rnacentral:rRNA from 1 species